CUGUCUGGCUAAUCAUAAAAAAUUGCUCUCCAGAGAGUAUAUUGGAAACAUCCGGAUAUGGGGUUAUAAUUAAAAAUGAAAGCAAAACAGCAUCCUUAAAAGAAGUGAAGCCCUUAAUUCAAAUUUACCAGAUAGCUGAUAAUGUAAGUGAAAAUGCUGGCAUACACAGAUAUUGAAAAAUCUUGGAAUUUGAACUUUAUCACUGACCAUCUGU
rfam:Procavia capensis cont1.458407, whole genome shotgun sequence.